rnacentral:rRNA from 1 species
GKUACACACCGCCCGUCGCUGCUACCGAUUGGAUGAUCCGGUGAAAUCCUCGGACUGAAGUARUKAUCUAGCAGCAAUGUUAGAURYURUUUUGGGAAGUUGAUUAAACCUUAUCAUCUAGAGGAAGCAAAAGUCGUAACAAGGUUUCCGUAGGUGAACCUGCAGAAGGAUCA